rnacentral:piRNA from 1 species
UGUCUUCAGACACACCAGAAGAGGGCAUCGGA